GAACGCUGGCGGCGUGCCUAAUACAUGCAAGUCGAGCGAACGGACGAGAAGCUUGCUUCUCUGAUGUUAGCGGCGGACGGGUGAGUAACACGUGGAUAACCUACCUAUAAGACUAGGAUAACUUCGGGAAACCGGAGCUAAUACCGGAUGAUAUUUUGAACCGCAUGGUUCAAAAGUGAAAGACGGUCUUGCUGUCACUUAUAGAUGGAUCCGCGCUGCAUUAGCUAGUUGGUAAGGUAACGGCUUACCAAGGCAACGAUGCAUAGCCGACCUGAGAGGGUGAUCGGCCACACUGGAACUGAGACACGGUCCAGACUCCUACGGGAGGCAGCAGUAGGGAAUCUUCCGCAAUGGGCGAAAGCCUGACGGAGCAACGCCGCGUGAGUGAUGAAGGUCUUCGGAUCGUAAAACUCUGUUAUUAGGGAAGAACAUAUGUGUAAGUAACUGUGCACAUCUUGACGGUACCUAAUCAGAAAGCCACGGCUAACUACGUG
rnacentral:rRNA from 1 species